GGAAAGCACUCAGUUAGGCACACAUGAGGCGCUCAGUAGGCAUUGGACUUGGUGCAGAGGAGCUCCUGAAUGCUUUUGGACCAUUUUCUGCCCAUCUUCACCUCUUCCUACAUUGAUGCUAACUCCAGCCCUCCCCAAGGAGGCUCAGGCCAGGGAUUCCAAUUUCCAAAGCAGCCAUGAUGUCCCAGUUAGAGCCAGCAGAGGAACUGUGGAUGUUGCAAACAGAAGUGCGGUGGGGCUCCCAUGCAGAGUGGGGAACCAGCCCUGAAACUAAGAGAUCAACUUCUUGGCAGGACAUUUCUGAAGAAGACUCGUAC
rnacentral:lncRNA from 1 species